rnacentral:rRNA from 1 species
UACAGAGGUGCCAAGCGUUAGGCGGAAUCACUGGGCUUAAAGCGCGUGUAGGUGGGUCGUUAAGUGUCCGCGUGAAAUCCCACGGCUCAACCGUGGAACUGCCGGGCAUACUGGCGAUCUUGAGGCAUUCAUGGGAGCGAGCGGGAACUAAUGGUGGAGCGGUGAAAUGCGUUGAUAUCAUUAGGAACUCCGGUGGCGAAAGCGGCUCGCUGGACCUUUUCUGACGCUGAUGCGCGAAAGCUAGGGGAGCAAACGGG